UGAGUAAUACACCGGAACGUGUCUUCUAGUGGGGGAUAACUGCCCGAAAGGGCAGCUAAUACCGCAUGAGACCUGAGGGUGAAAGCGGGGGAUCGCAAGACCUCGCGCUGGAAGAGCGGCCGAUGUCCGAUUAGCUAGUUGGUGAGGUAAAGGCUCACCAAGGCGACGAUCGGUAGCUGGUCUGAGAGGACGACCAGCCACACUGGGACUGAGACACGGCCCAG
rnacentral:rRNA from 1 species